rnacentral:lncRNA from 10 species
CUUUAUUUCCUUCUCCUGCUUAAUUGCCCUGGCCAGAACUUCCAACUUUCAAAUAAAAUUGUAAGGGUUUUGUAACACAAUCCAAAGCUAAUGCAAAAUGAGACCUUGACCAAAUUUGUUUUAUACAUUAAGUGAACUUGGAUGGGCAAGAUUCAUUAAUUUAUUGAGAACAAAAACAAAACCAAAGCCUAGGCUUGGCAAGAUCUAAUCCCAACACUUUGGUAGGUCAAAGCGGGAGAAUCUCUUGAGCCCAGGAGUUCAAGACCAGCCUUAGCAACAUAGAGAGACCUUGUCUUUACAAAAAUCAAAAACAAAAACAAAACACUGAAAAACACAGCAAGAAGUGCAUUUGCUUUGACAGCUAUGUUCUGGGAAUAAAUAAUAGUUGUCAGGGACGAUAAAAUGUAGCUCUCUUUUCAUUAAACCUAAGUUUUGCCUAGAAAUCACAUAUAUGUUUAUAUAUUAUAUAUUUAAGUAAGAAAAAAACCCUUUUGACCUCUUUGGAUAUGUAUUCUACAUAUCUACAUAGCACCAGAUUUUCUGAAGUGAAAAAGUAAAAGACCCUGAUUUAAGUAAUAUAUAUCAUUUAAUGACUAUAAUAUCUGUUUAUUUUUUUAAAUAUUGAAUUAACUCUUUCUUUCUAAAAUAUGUUUCAUACUCCUUAGUUUUUUUCUACUCUAGGUACAACUUUUCAACCUUUUUUAUAUUUCAAAGUCCAGUGGUAUUAAGUAUGAAAUGGUGCUUAACCUCAAAUGUUAGAAAUAUAAAGCUUAUCCUAAGUAGUUUCUGAAAAGAUUGCAAUCUGCUUGGAAUUUUCUUUUUUAUAUAUUAAUUUUCAUUUUUACAAGAAAUCCAUUGUGUUUAAAUUCCCUUAACAGUACAUUCAAAAUCAGGAAUAUUACACUUUCAUUGCCCAUCUUUACAAUUGUUAUUAACUUCUCAGGGUAAUUUUAAGCAUUGGUAAUACCUUAAAUAAAUUGCUUUUUGUAAACACUUAGAUUAUUUUUUGUGUGAGAUAGUUUAUUAUAUUUACCAUUUCCUACAGCUUAGAAAUAAAACUGAGUCACUAUUUCACAUUACUUUUAAAGUCUUGCCACAAUUUGUUUUUAUAACUUAAACAUAAAAUUUGAAUUUAGGGUGAGCUGCAUAAAUAGCCAAAAGAAAAGAAAGAAGAGAAUACUCUGACUUAUUUAC